rnacentral:rRNA from 1 species
AAUAGAUACCCGGGUAGUCCCAGCCAUCAACGAUGGAUACUGGAUAUUCCUGCACUCAUGUGGGAGUGUCGAAGCCAACGCGUUAAGUAUCCCGCCUGGGGAGUACGGUCGCAAGAUUGAAACUCAAAGGGAUUGACGGGGGCCCGCACAAGCGGUGGAGCAUGUGGUUUAAUUCGACGCAACGCGAAGAACCUUACCUGGGCUUGAACUGUCGGUAUAGGGACCCGAAAGGGCGACGAUCCCGGGCAACCGGGAAGCCGAUAGAGGUGCUGCAUGGCUGUCGUCAGCUCGUGUCGUGAGAUGUUGGGUUAAGUCCCGCAACGAGCGCAACCCUUGUCUUUAGUUGCCAGCGAGUCAUGUCGGGCACUCUAAGGAGACUGCCUCGGAUAACGAGGAGGAAGGUGGGGAUGACGCCAAGUCAGCAUGGCCUUUAUGUCCAGGGCUACACACGUGCUACGAAUGGGCGGCACGAGAAGGACGCGAGACCGCGAGGUCAAGCCAACCCUUAAAACCGUUCUCAGUUCGGAUUGCAG